rnacentral:lncRNA from 1 species
AAGCCGGCAUGUGGGCGGUGAGAGGUUUUAUUCUGGUUACAGGACAGGCGUUGACAAAGCCCCGGACAUUCCAGUGAUGGCCACCAGAAGCGCCGUCGCAGGAAGUCCCGGGUCCUCUGAAUGCCGGGAUGGCAGGUGAGCCGGGAAGCAUGGCCCCACUGGAGCACGUCUGAACGGAGGUGUGACGGGACAAACAGGCGGUCAGGUGGACAGGAACUGGGAGCUGGCUGGUCCACAGUGGCGGUUCGUCUCCUGUGUCUCCCAGGGUAUGGAAGCGAUGAGGCAGGAGGCUGGGAUGAUGGUGGAAGGCUUGACCAUCUCAUUGGGACUGUAGAACUUCCCAAGGUACUGCUUUACGGGAGUUUCUGA